GUCCUGCCUGCCCAGUGCGAAACCCCUCUCAACGGCCGCGGUAUUUUGACCGUGCUAAGGUAGCGUAAUCAUUUGUCUUUUAAUGAAGACCUGUAUGAACGGCUCCACGAAGGCUUAACUGUCUCCUUUUUCAAGUCAAUGAAAUUGAUCUCCCCGUGCAAAAGCGGGGAUACACCCAUAAGACGAGAAGACCCUAUGGAGCUUUAGAUGUUACAACAAGCAUUAUGUGCUAUUCCCAAACAAAGGGGAUAACCACUAGCCCCUGCCCAAACAUCUUCGGUUGGGGUGACCAUGGGAAACAAGAAACUCCCACGUCUCUGUAUUGGAAUCUCCUUAUUUAAACCCAAACAAACUUCUUCAAACGAGAGCCACCACUCUAAUUCAACAGAAUUUCUGACCACCGAUCCGGCAACGCCGAUUAACGAACCAAGUUACCCUAGGGAUAACAGCGCAAUCCCCUUUCAGAGCCCAUAUCGAUAAGGGGGCUUACGACCUCGAUGUUGGA
rnacentral:rRNA from 1 species